GACGAACGCUGGCGGCGUGCCUAAUACAUGCAAGUCGAGCGGAAUGAUGAAGAAGCUUGCUUCUUCUGAUUUUAGCGGCGGACGGGUGAGUAACACGUGGGCAACCUACCUUGUAGAUUGGGAUAACUCCGGGAAACCGGGGCUAAUACCGAAUAAUCCAUUUUGCUUCAUGGCGAGAUGUUGAAAGACGGUUUCGGCUGUCACUACAAGAUGGGCCCGCGGCGCAUUAGCUAGUUGGUAGGGUAAUGGCCUACCAAGGCGACGAUGCGUAGCCGACCUGAGAGGGUGAUCGGCCACACUGGGACUAAGACACGGCCCAGACUCCUACGGGAGGCAGCAGUAGGGAAUCUUCCACAAUGGACGAAAGUCUGAUGGAGCAACGCCGCGUGAGUGAAGAAGGUUUUCGGAUCGUAAAACUCUGUUGUAAGGGAAGAACACGUACGAGAGUAACUGCUCGUACCUUGACGGUACCUUAUUAGAAAGCCACGGCUAACUACGUG
rnacentral:rRNA from 1 species